rnacentral:rRNA from 1 species
AGGAAGGCGGGGAUGACGUCAAAUCAGCACGGCCCUUACGUCCAGGGCUACACACGUGCUACAAUGGCCGAUACAGAGGGCAGCUACCUGGUGACAGGAUGCAAAUCUCCAAAGUCGGUCUCAGUUCGGAUCGGAGUCUGCAACCCGACUCCGUGAAGUUGGAUUCGCUAGUAAUCGCGCAUCAGCCAUGGCGCGGUGAAUACGUUCCCGGGCCUU